AUUGCCUCUUGGUCUUUUGGCUAAGAUCAAAUUUAAUAUCUGGUAUAUCUUACCAGUUUAAUAGCUGAUACAUCCUCUUAUCAGAGGGCAAUAUUUAUUAAAUGGAUUUUGGCGCAAGGAGAUAGAAUGAGAACUUAUUUAAUGCAUUCCAUGCAUCAACCUCACAUUGCAGUACCUCCAGGAAUGGUGCUCCACUG
rnacentral:snRNA from 1 species